UACGUAGGGUGCUAGCGUUGUCCGGAUUUAUUGGGCGUAAAGAGCGUGUAGGCGGCUGGGUAGGUCCGUUGUGAAAACUCGAGGCUCAACCUCGAGACGCCGAUGGAAACCCCCGGCUAGAGUCCGGAAGAGGAGAGUGGAAUUCCUGGUGUAGCGGUGAAAUGCGCAGAUAUCAGGAGGAACACCGGUGGCGAAGGCGGGUCUCUGGGCCGAUACUGACGCUGAGGAGCGAAAGCGUGGGGAGCGAACAGG
rnacentral:rRNA from 1 species